rnacentral:rRNA from 1 species
UACGUAGGGGGCAAGCGUUGUCCGGAUUUAUUGGGCGUAAAGAGCUCGUAGGCGGUUCGGUAAGUCGGGUGUGAAACCUCCAGGCUCAACCUGGAGACGCCACCCGAUACUGCUGUGACUAGAGUCCGGUAGGGGAGCGUGGAAUUCCUGGUGUAGCGGUGAAAUGCGCAGAUAUCAGGAGGAACACCAGCGGCGAAGGCGGCGCUCUGGGCCGGAACUGACGCUGAGGAGCGAAAGCUAGGGGAGCAAACAGG